AAUGAACGUUGGCGGCGUGGAUUAGGCAUGCAAGUCGAGCGAGAACCCAGCAAUGGGGGACAGCGGCGAAAGGGACAGUAAUGUGUAGAUCAUCUGCCCUCAGGUCCGGGAUAGCUGCGGGAAACUGCAGGUAAUACCGGAUAACAUCUCCGGAUCAAAGGUGUGAUUCCGCCUGAGGAUGAGUCUACAUCCUAUUAGCUUGUUGGUGGGGUAAUGGCCUACCAAGGCGAUGAUGGGUAGCGGGUGUGAGAGCACGACCCGCGUCAUUGGGACUGAGACACUGCCCAGACACCUACGGGUGGCUGCAGUCGGGAAUCUUCGGCAAUGGGCGCAAGCCUGACCGAGCGACGCCGCGUGCGGGAUGUAGGCCUUCGAGUUGUAAACCGCUGUCAGAGGGGAUGAAAUGCAGGUGGGUUCUCCCAUCUGUUUGACAUAGCCUCAGAGGAAGGACGGGCUAAGUUCGUGCCAGCAGCCGCCGUAA
rnacentral:rRNA from 1 species